rnacentral:rRNA from 1 species
AUUGAACGCUGGCGGCAGGCCUAACACAUGCAAGUCGAGCGCGCGGCGGACUGGUGAGUCAUGUCUGUGAAACUGCCUGCUGGAGGGGGAUCACUCCUGGAAACGGUAGCUAAUACCGCAUACCAUCAGAUGUUCCCAGAUGUGAUUAGCUAGUAGGUGGGGUAACGGCUCACCUAGGCGACGAUCCCUAGCUGGACUGAGAGGAUGACCAGCCACACUGGAACUGAGACACGGUCCAGACUCCUACGGGAGGCAGCAGUGGGGAAUAUUGCACAAUGGGGGCAAGCCUGAUGAAGCAAUGCCGCAUGUGUGAAGAAGGCCUUCGGGUUGUAAAGCACUUUCAGCAGGGAGGCGUUAACCGCAGAAGAAGCACCGGCUAACUCCGUGCCAGCAGCCGCGGUAAUAC